rnacentral:lncRNA from 1 species
UUCAAAACUCCUAGAUAUCUUGCAAAACCAUUAUUUUACCUUCUUGAAUCAAACUAUACUUAUGCGCAUAUGUUCAUUUAUAUGUUAGAGAUUAUAGUUUUCAUCCUUCGUUCAGUUUCCCGCACCCUGGCGUAUCGAGGGUGCAUAAAUCUACUUGAACAACCACAUACUUUCCAGUUAGCUAUCAUAGGGAUAGUCAGAAGAUAUCAAACAUUACUUCUAUUACAAGGAAUCACACAAGAGUCAGUUCAUUCAUGAGUCUAUACUAAUGCCUUACAUGAUACAUGAGUACACGUACUUAGGAUUACAUGAUACAUGAAUAUGUUUACAUAUACUUACCUGUUACAUGAACACACUUACAUGAAUACCAUACAGGAACACUCCUUCAUAGGUGCAUUAUCCUGUAUUUACUUACCUUGGAUACUUGUACUUAGAACUAAGAGGACGAUUUAUUAGUAUUUACUGUGUAAAUCGUCUUUCCUAUCCCGAUUCAAUGGGAUGUUUCGGCGGGACUUACCAUUCCGAAUCCCGCUGAUUAGCACCAGUGGUCGAUGAACGUCGACGGAUGUCUAAGGUUGUCACUUAUUUAGUAGUCAGUGACGGGACUAACCAUCCCACUGUCCACUGUUGCAACAGUGGAUGAGAUGUGAAUCUUCGGAGGAUCAUUAGGUUGACGAUCUGCAUUAAGAGAUCGAUACGGGGACUAACCCUCCCUCCACCCUGCUGCCGCUACAGAGGAUGAGGGGACACUCUUCGGAUGUUCCAUAGGGUCUAUCUUUCGCUUCGGCGAUGUCGUGUUUGUCCUGGUAACCCAAGACAAUAACACUUACAUGAUUAUAUUUUCCUGUUUACUUUAUUUUGUGAUACUUUCACAUAAACGAGGAGUUAGGCUAAGUACUCAAGUACUAGUCAAUAGAAAGGAAAAGCUAUCAUAUUACUUACAAAACAUCCGUGUCUUGGUAGAAGACUACACUUCAUACUUACAAAACAUUCGUGUCUUGGUAGAAGACUACACUUCAUACUUACAAAACAUUCGUGUCUUGGUAGAAGACUACACUUCAUACUUACAAAACAUUCGUGUCUUGGUAGAAGACUACACUUCAUACUGAUAGAACAUUCGGGUCUUGGUAGAAGACUACAUAGUCAUAACAAAACAUUCGUGUCUUGGUAGAAGACUACACUUCAUACUUUUAGAAAAUAAGGGUUUUUUACUAGGGUUUUCAUACUUACAUCAACAUUUUUACUUAAAGGUUUACAUGGUAUUCAUAACAGAUUUUCACAAACAAGGCAAUGACACUUAUAUACUUAUGAGCUCACCAGCUUUAAAGCUGAUAAUCGCUUUCAAAAUAACUUGUAUUCUCAGGUCAUUAGUAGACAGGUACGGAGGCCAGGUUUUGAGAAGACGGAGCAGACAAGUCUCGUCUUUUAUUUUGAUUGUAUAUUUUUGGUGUCUUAUUACAAUGAAAGAACACACAUGUAUUAAACUUUACUUAUAAUGCAAUGGAUGAUGUUGUUGCUUGUUUAUUAUAUUACACUGUUGUGAUACUGUACAUGACGUCCUCCACCCCUGAACGUUUCCGCCGUUCGUGGUUUUGGGGUGUGACAGAUUGGUAUCAGAGCAUUGUUUAUAGUGAAUUAAGUAUAUCAACCCAUAAAAGAUAUACUAACUAUAAAUACAUGGGAUUAAAACACUCUGUCUCAGAGUUAUACUUUUAAAUAAUAAAAUAUUUAAGUAAGUAUACGUGCCUGCAUUCAUACUAAAAUCGGUGUCACAACGACAAGAACAAAAGUAUUACGAUUGUUGAAUAUCACAAGUAAGCCUGGGGAUAUAUGGUCAGUCGUGGGAAUGGCAUAUCUUGAUCAACUAUGUUGGUCGAGGAGUGAUUAGAAUAUGCCCAAGCAUGGUUGUGAUAUGGCAACAAGUCUAAAAACUUACCAACAUGACCAUACAGAAAUACCAUAUGGGUAUUUGAUCUUACUGUAAUUAUCUUAGUAGUUCGUCUAUUUUAGCUAUUUCUUAUAUCCCUUUUCUCGCGUAGAUUAAAAUGGCUGGAUUUCACCAUGGCGAUCCGUACUUCCCAAACCAAGGCAAUGCUGGUUGGCUAGAGGCUGAACCAGAAGAUGGUCACCCAAUUCCUUUGGAUGAUCACCAUGCUGAAGGUUUUUCUGAUAGUUCUGACUCAGAGCCAGAAGUCAACAACCUACCCCCAAUUGCUCAAAACCCAAACCUGAACCCUCGCCCUGUGUUUCAAGGACCCACACCUCUGUGGGCCACUAACUUGAUAACAUGGAGUCAUGAACAGGGUCAGCCCAUUCCUUACAAUGGUGACCGAAGUUUCUACAACCUCACUGAAGCAGGUUCUGCUGAUAGAGUCCCACCAAUCAUGGUGCGUCGGAUUUCUCGGAACUCGAUAAUAGCUCAGGCGACUAUCAAUCAAGUCUUGGAAGUUGACGCCAACUCUGGUGUUAACACUGUCCAAAUUUGCCAACUAGAGUCUGCUCAUGAAAGGACUCUGGUCCGCAAUGCAAAUCUGCAAAGGGAACUUGCUGAAACUCGGGCUGAAGUUAGAGAACAUCAAGCUCAGCAAGCAAGGUCGGACAGGCAUAUAAGGGACAUUGAACGUCUACUGUCGGGAUCGAGGACUCAUGCUAGCAGUUCUCAUCGCCGAUAGAAUCUCGUCGACUCAUCUUUUGGAUAUAACCUAGUUUAUGUAAAACUUUGGUCUAAUUUCCUAUCUGUAUAAAUCUUAGACCUGUUAGGUCUUGAUCUAGUCUUAAUUCUGUCAAAAUUUUCCAUCUUGGUUGAUGUAAGGCCUACUUCUAGGCCAUUUUUCCCGAACUUGUUACAUCUGUAAUUCCAGUAUUAUUGACAGAUAUCUAAUCUUAUGGAAAUUAUUAUCCAAAUGCUAUCUUCUUCAUUUAGUCAUACUAUUCUUUCUGUUGUUGGACUAUGGGGAUUUAGUCCAUGAGACACAUUCAUUAAUCAUUUAUUCUUAUCCAUUUCGUCAUCUUUUAAACGUAUAGUUAAAGAUGCCGCCACGCAGGAAUCCAAGGAGGAACCCAAACAACGAAGCACCAAUACCACCACCUCCACCACCACCUGUACCUCUUCAACCACCAAAUCCUUUUGAUGCCAACAUGUUCCAGGCAGCUUUCACAGCAGCAGUUGCAGCUGCUGUGUCAGCAAUCAACGCUCCUGCCCCUAGUGGAUCAGGAACAGGUGCACCACCCUCGAACCACGGCGAAAGCCAUGGACACCCUCGGGAAUGCACUUACAAGGACUUCACUAACGCCAAACCCCACAGCUUCAACGGAACUAGGGGUGUAAUGGUGUUGAGACAAUGGAUUGAAAAGAUGGAAUCUAUCUUUGAAAUCUGUGCUUGCCAUGAGGGCAGCAAGGUCAAGUUCGCAACUUGUACCUUCUCUGACCGAGCACUAACAUGGUGGAACAGCCAUGUUAACUAUCUAACUCUGGUGGUGGCGUAUUCCGUCAGCUGGGAAAAAUUGAAAGACAUGCUCAUGAAAGAAUAUUGUCCUCGAGGCGAGGUACAAAAACUCGAGCAGGAAUUCUGGGGUCUACAAAUGGUUGGAUCCGACAUCACUACCUACACAAAUAGGUUUUGUGACUUGGCAAACUUAUGCCCCGACAUGGUUGCUCUCCAGAGCAAAAAGAUCGAGAGGUAUAUAUGGGGACUGUCGCCCCAGAUCCAGUCAAGUGUGAUCGCUUCCAGGCCUAUUACCUUUGAUAGUGCCGAGGAACUAGCACAAUCUCUUAUCGAUCACCAGAAACCUCAGAACGCAACAAUCCCUACACCUGUACCACAAAAGUCCAACCCCGAUCACAACAGGAAGGGGUGGAAUAAGAGGAAAAGAGGGGCUUCGCAAGGGUCCUCCAAGAAACAACAACUUGUGGCGAUCAAUGCUGCCACAGUUACUCCUAUUGUCCCUGCGAACCUCUUACCAGCAAGAACAUAUGCUGGAACUCUCCCGAAGUGCACCAAGUGCAACUUCCACCACCACGGACCUUGCAAAGAGAUGCAGUGCUCUAACUGCAACAGGAAGGGACACACAGUCCGUUUUNAACAGCUCAAGCUGCUCAGGUUCCUAACGCCGGUAUGGGCCAAGCUUGUUACGGAUGUGGCGAAGUGGGCCACUACAAGAGGAACUGCCCUAAAGCAGGGAUGGCUGGAGGAGUGGGAAGAGUUAAGGCUCUAGGCCAUGAGGAAGCAGUAGCUGAUCUAACGAUAGUUACUGGUACGUUCCUCCUCGAUAACUCAUAUGCUUGNNNNNNNNNNNNNNNNNNNNNNNNNNNNNNNNNNNNNNNNNNNNNNNNNNNNNNNNNNNNNNNNNNNNNNNNNNNNNNNNNNNNNNNNNNNNNNNNNNNNAACUCUCAUAGGCCGUAAACUCCAUUUUCAAACACUAAAUGGUGUUUUAUGGACUCUAGGACUUUAAGGCUUGUAUCUAGGCUAAUUUCCCAAGUAGUAUAAGGUCUUAAACACAUCAAAAGACACAAACAAAAGUGAGUUUACGGCCCAAGUGAAGCUUAGGCCGUAAACUCCAUACAAAUGGAUAUAAAGGGUAUUUUCGUUGCACCGAAAGCCUUAGACCUUUACAAGAAAUUGUUCCACUUAAAAUGAAGGACCAAAACUCACCAAAAUCACUUAUCAAAGUGAGUUUACGGCCAAGAGAAUGCUCUUGGGCCGUAAACUCAAAGGAAUGGCACCAAAGUGUGCCUAGGGUCCUCAUUUGCCUUAAACAAUUAUCCAGAACAUGUCCUUUAAAAGCAAGAGGCUUGAAAACAACAAAAACAACACCCCAAGGGAGUUUACGGCUGUAAACUCCAAGGGGAAUGGCCUUGAGGCUGUAAACUCCUAUUUAGAGUACUUCUAGACCUUCAACCCUUCCAAGGACUUAGCCACUAAGUUAGGAUAAUUCUAGAAAGCAUUUGGGACUUCAAAACACACCAAACACACAUGUUUGGGAGUUUAUGGUCGUAAACUCAAGAGUUUACAACCGUAAACUCCAUGUGUGAUGGUUAAUGGAGAGAAAAAUCACUUAUAGGGUCCUUUGGAAACCCUAAACACAAAUACACUGUCCCACAAUAGCUUAGAUGAAAUCCUUUCGGCUUUAAACACUUAUAUAAAGUGUUAUUUAUGUCUAGGAUGUCUUAAACAUUAUCAAUUAGUCAUUUUAGUCUAAUUGAGUGCAUAUAUGUGUGAUUAUAUGUUCAUUAGGAUCGUAGUGUGUGCACAAGUCCUCGCUUGACACCUAGCCGUCCUAUACCGUUCAGUUCAUUCCAAUCACCAACUACAGAUGAGUUCAUACCCCUAAAUCAAUGUUUUAAAGGAUUUUAACUGCUUUAAUGGGGGGGGGGAAUACAAGUAGAAAACAAUAUGUUAUUAAAUCAAUCUUAUGUAUUUUAUAACUGUGUUUUCACUUAGUAGAUUUCACAUAUUUCAAAAAGUGACACAUGAAAUGGUUUUCUAUCUUAAAAUACCUUGAUAACAAAAGUAUUAGUUUUGAAAUGUUUAUUAAAAUGACAUCAAGUCAUUCUUAAUUAUUGUUCAAAACUCCUAGAUAUCUUGCAAAACCAUUAUUUUACCUUCUUGAAUCAAACUAUACUUAUGCGCAUAUGUUCAUUUAUAUGUUAGAGAUUAUAGUUUUCAUCCUUCGUUCAGUUUCCCGCACCCUGGCGUAUCGAGGGUGCAUAAAUCUACUUGAACAACCACAUACUUUCCAGUUAGCUAUCAUAGGGAUAGUCAGAAGAUAUCAAACAUUACUUCUAUUACAAGGAAUCACACAAGAGUCAGUUCAUUCAUGAGUCUAUACUAAUGCCUUACAUGAUACAUGAGUACACGUACUUAGGAUUAUAUGAUACAUGCAUAUGUUUGCAUACACUUACCUGUUACAUGAACACACUUACAUGAAUACCAUACAGGAACACUCCUUCAUAGGUGCAUUAUCUUGUAUUUACUUACCUUGGAUACUUGUGCUUAGAACUAAGAGGAUGAUUUAUUAGUAUUUACUGUGUAAAUCGUCUUUCCUAUCCCGGUUCAAUGGGAUGUUUCGG